rnacentral:lncRNA from 1 species
GAUAAUUUGCAGAGUUCCAAUUAUGAGCUUCAGUCUGGAGAUACAGUGGUGAGAAAAAAAAACUAAUAUGUUUCCUAAAAGUCUUAUGGGGAAGAUAGACAUUACACAAAUAAUCAUCAACUAAAUGCAAAAGUGACAACAAAUACAAAUUCAAUAUACUGACUCUAUGCCAGAUUAAGUCAUAUAAUACAAAAAGUAUAUAUGGAAGACAUUUUUUCCAUUUUACAGAUCAGAAAAUUGAGACAGAAAGGUCAUAUAAUUUCCCCUAAGUCACACAGCAGAGCAGGAAUAUAAACCCAGGCUGUUUUACUCUCAAAUCUGUGCUUUUAAUUGCCUCUGAAUAUAAAAUUGAAACUUGGAUAUAUGCAAGCAAGAUAAAUACAUGAUUGGAAAAUAUUUAUUAAUUCAAAAAAGUAUUUGCUGAUCUCCUACAAUGUACCAGAUACUAUUUUUGGCCUGUAGAUGAAGAAGUGAACAAGAAAAAGAUAAGACAAAUAUACUUAACCUCGUAAAGCUUGUAUCAUAAACACACACAUCCAUGGACACACUUACAUAUAUAAGCAUAAUGUUUAGGCUGUUAUAUGCUCAAAAUUUAAUACAUCAGGAUAAGUGAUUACUGAUGUGAAGGUAAGGAGGUACACUAUUUCCAGAGCAGUAAUGAAAAUCUUCUCUGAGGAAAGGAUAUCCAAAUAGAUGUUGAAUAAAUGUGAGGCAUAUGAGCAUCUAGCAGAAUGCUAGAAGGGGAAAGAGCAAACACAAAGGCCACUAGGAAGGAUUCUAUUUUUCAUUCUGUGCCUCUGCCCCACCACCCCUAUCUUCCACUGCAGCAAGAAUGAUUAAAGGGGAGUAUGUAUAAGAAACAAAGUAAUAGGAUUAUAUGAGAUUACAGAAGUACCUUAAAAGGCUUUAGAGGACAAGAUAAGGACUUCGUUUUCCAAGAGUGAUGGGAAACCAAUUGAAAUGUUCAAACAGGGAAGUAACAUGAUCAAAUUUGUAUCUUUUAAAGACCACACUAAAAAAAUAAUAAUAAUAAUAAAUAAAGACCACACUAGUUACUAUGAGGAGAAUAGACUACAGGGUUUAUACAGUGGAAAUGAAGAUAUUAUUCAGGAGGCUAUUGCAACCUUCCAGACAAAACAUAAUGAUGAAAUCUAAUAAUCAGCACCUGGCUGGCUCAGUCAGUGGAGCAUGUGACUCUUAAACCAGGGUUGUGAUUUUGAACCCCACAUAGGGGGGAGAGAUUACUUAAAAAUAAAAUAUUUAAAAAUUUGUUUAAAUAUCUAAUAAUCAAAUCAAACUUAUAAAUAACUAUAAUACAAAGGAAACUAUAAGUGGCAUAAUAGAAGGUACAAAAUAUAUAGGUCAUCAAAGUUUGUAUUUGCAUGAAGACCAAGAAAGUCAUCACCAAGGGGCUGAGAGAUGCAGCAUAUUUAAGUAUACAGAGAAGAUUAUGUGAAUGUGUUUGUUUUUUUUUUAAAGAGUAAAUACUUCAACUUUCCAAUAGCAUAAAGUGAAUGUAAGGGUAAAACAUGAAUUAGAGUCAAAUAAAGGAGUAACUCAAGAGAUUAGGGAGAUAAAAUUAGUCUCUAUUUUCUCUGCUUUCUUACACAGCUUCCUGUAACAGCUCAGUUACAUGCUAGUUUUCAUUUGUAAUGUAGUUGGUCUGUCUUUUUAAAUUCAUUGAGGGUGUUAGGCACAGAAAAUGAUGUUCAAAAAUGAUUAAUGAAUCUGCUCAAAGACCACGAAAGUAUACCACAUCUAUAAUCUGACAAACAGGUUUAUUUGCUGCCAUAGAAAUUUCAUAUUAGCAGAACUGUGGGUCAUUUUACCAUAACAAAGGUAGAGCCAGUGGGUGGUCUUCCUUGUUAGUUUGGGGGCAAGGUGGAGUUUAAUUUAAAAAAAUACUUUUAGGGAUCCCUGAGUGGCGCAGUGGUUUGGCGCCUGCCUUUGGCCCAGGGCGCGAUCCUGGAGACCCAGGAUCGAAUCCCACAUCAGGCUCCCGGUGCAUGGAGCCUGCUUCUCCCUCUGCCUGUGUCUCUGCCUCUCUUUCUCUCUGUAACUAUCAUAAAUAAAAAUAAAAAUUAAAAAAAAUAUAUUUAUUUAUCUUAAUUCCAGUAUAAUUAACAUAUGAUGUUAUAUUAGUUUCAGGAAUACAAUAUAAUGAUUCAACAAUUUUAUACAUUACUCAGUGCUCAUUUCCGUAUGUAUACUCUUCAUCCUUUUCAUCUAUUUCACCUAUCCCACUACCCACCUCCCCUUUGGUAACCAUCAGUUUUCUAUAUUUAAGAAUCUAUUAUUUCAUCUUUCUUUCUUUGUUCCUUUGUUUUGUUUCUUAAAUUCCACAUAGGCACGAAAUCACGUGGUCUUUGUCUUUCUCUGACGGAUUUAUUUCACUUAGCAUUAUACCCUAUGGGUCCACUCAUGUUGUUGCAAAUGGAAUAUAUCAUUCUUUUUUGUGGUUAACAUACCAUUUUGUGUAUAUGCGUGUGCGCAUGUGUGUGCAUGUAUAUAUAUAUAUAUAUAUAUAUAUAUCUGAUAUAUAUGUGUCUGCGUGUGUGUAUAUAUAUUUUUUUAUUCAUUCAUCUUUUCAUCAUCCUUUUUUUUAAAUAAUAAAUUUUUUAUUGGUGUUCAAUUUGCCAACAUACAGAAUAACACCCAGUGCUCAUCCCAUCAAGUGUCCCCCUCAGUGCCCGUCACCCAUUCACCCCUACCUCCCACCCUCCUCCCUUUCCACCACCCCUAGUUCGUUUCCCAGUGUU